rnacentral:rRNA from 1 species
UACGUAGGAUGCAAGCGUUGUCCGGAUUUACUGGGCGUAAAGCGCGCGCAGGCGGCACAUUAAGUAAGGUGUGAAAUAUCCCGGCUCAACCGGGAGGGUGCACUUUAGACUGAUGAGCUUGAGGUCGGUAGAGGGGGGUGGAAUUGCUGGUGUAGGCGGUGAAAUGCGUAGAGAUCAGCAGGAACACCCGUGGCGAAGGCGGCCCCCUGGGCCGUACCUGACGCUGAGACGCGAAAGCGUGGGGAGCGAACAGG